AAAAUGGGGAGUUUUAUUUGGAAACUUUUAAAAAUUAGUAAUAACUGUGAUUCUAUAGCCAUUUGCAUUCCAUGUGGAAAGCAGAUAAGCAGGGGGUGUAGUAAAUCUGGUUAGCAGUCAAAAAUCAAAGAAAUAUAACUAGACUUUUAUCAGUUGUUAUUAAUAGAGCUACCAGCUUCACCACCAUUAUCUCCAAUCAUUUAACGCCAAAAUCCAAAAAAAAAAAGAGAAGAGAAUGACUUCAACUCCUGCUUUUUUGAACUUGCAGAAUAUGAAGGAAAUUUAGAAUAAACUGGUGAAAUAAAUCCUGAUUAAGUCUCCCUUGUAAAAGCUGCUCAAGAAGUUGAUUUUUUCUUUAAUCACUCAAUGAUAGAAAAAAAAGAAGACGUUUUUAAUUAUUGGAAACACGAAGAAGUUUCCAUUUCUAAAAGAGUUAACUCUUAAAUUAUUAGCACCUCCAUCAUCCUCUGUAUUUUCGGAGCAAUUGUUUUCCAAAUAUGGGAAUAUUUACAAGAAAAAGCGAUCAAGGCUGUUACCUAAAUGUGGAGAAAUGUUACUAUUUAUUCAUCAUAAUGGAAAUAAAUUUAUAAAUGAGUGAU